ACGUGGUGAACCAGGUUAUCAAGUACAAGCCUGCAGUUGCCUGGCAGACUGGAAAGCCUCUCUCCAUAGAGGAGAUAGAGGUGGCACCCCCAAAGGCUAAUGAAGUUCGAAUCACAAUCAUUGCCACUGUGGUUUGCCACACCGACACCUAUACCCUGAGUGGAGCUGAUCCUAAGGGUUGUUUUCCAGUGAUCUUGGGACAUGAAGUUGCUUGGAAUUGUGGAAAGCGUUGGCGAGGAAGUUACUAAGCUGAAGGUGAGUGACACUGUCAUUCCACUUUACAUCCCACAGUGUGGAGAAUGCAAAUUUGGUCUAAAUCCUAAAACUAACCUUUGCCAGAAGAUAAGAGUCA
rnacentral:lncRNA from 1 species